UACGUAGGUGGCAAGCGUUGUCCGGAAUUAUUGGGCGUAAAGCGCGCGCAGGCGGUCCUUUAAGUCUGAUGUGAAAGCCCACGGCUCAACCGUGGAGGGUCAUUGGAAACUGGGGGACUUGAGUGCAGGAGAGAAGAGUGGAAUUCCACGUGUAGCGGUGAAAUGCGUAGAUAUCAGGAAGAACACCCGUGGCUAAGGCGGCUCUCUAGUACGGUACUGACGCUGAGACGCGAAAGCGUGGGGAGCGAACAGG
rnacentral:rRNA from 1 species